rnacentral:misc_RNA from 1 species
GAUGAAGAACGUAGCGAAAUGCGAUAAGUAAUGUGAAUUUCAGAAUUCAGUGAAUCAUCGAAUCUUUGAACGCACAUUGCGCCCGCCAGCACUCUGGCGGGCAUGCCUGUUCGAGCGUCAUUUCAACCAUCAAGCCCCCAGGGGCUUGUGCUGGGGCCCUGCGGCUGCCCGCAGGCCCUGAAAACCAGUGGCGGGCUCGCUAGUCACACCGAGCGCAGUAGCACAUCUCGCUCAGGGCGUGCGGCGGGCUCCUGCCGUGAAACCCCCCACUGUAACCCCAAAGGUUGACCUCGGAUCAGGUAGGAAUACCCGCUGAACUUAAGCAUAUCAAUAAGCGGAGGA